rnacentral:rRNA from 1 species
UACGGAGGGUGCAAGCGUUAUCCGGAUUUAUUGGGUUUAAAGGGUCCGUAGGCGGGCCGAUAAGUCAGCGGUGAAAUCUCGUAGCUCAACUACGAAACUGCCGUUGAUACUGUCGGCCUUGAGUAAAUUUGAAGUGGCUGGAAUAAGUAGUGUAGCGGUGAAAUGCAUAGAUAUUACUUAGAACACCGAUUGCGAAGGCAGGUCACUAAGAUUUAACUGACGCUGAGGGACGAAAGCGUGGGGAGCGAACAGG